GAAAUGCGAUACGUAAUGUGAAUUGCAGAUUUCAGUGAAUCAUCGAAUCUUUGAACGCACAUUGCGCCCGCCAGUAUUCUGGCGGGCAUGCCUGUUCGAGCGUCAUUUCAACCAUCAAGCCCCAGCGCUUGUGUUGGAGCCCUGCGGCUGCUGCAGGCUCCCAAACCCAGUGGCGGGCUCGUCGUCGUACCGAGUGCAGUAAAUUUACCACGCUCAGGGCACGCGACGGGUGACCGGCCGUAAAACCCCCCCCUUCUCAAGGUUGACCUCGGAUCAGGUAGGAAUACCCGCUGAACUUAA
rnacentral:misc_RNA from 1 species